rnacentral:lncRNA from 10 species
GUUUGCUUCCCGUUCCACCAUAAUUGUAAGUUUCCUUAGGCCUCCACAUCCAGGCUGAACUGUGAGUUAAUAAAACUUCUUUCCUUUGCCCAGUGUCAGGUUCUGUGCUCUGUCUUUCCUCUAGCCCUCAGCUUAAUAGGUUGUGACCAAGGCAAUUCAAGGAAUUGUCCCAGGGGAGGGGAACUGGUGGAAUGAGUACCUGGCAAAAGGAAAGCAGUUGUCAUGACUGGCCAAGACUAAAGGCAACAGAGGAAACUUGAAAUCUGUAAGUGUCAUAAAAAUUGCAAGUACUGUUGACUCAGAUGUACUGAGAGGUUCACAUUAUCACUGCCAACUCUGCUACGUUGCCUACAAAGGAAUCCACACACCAACACUGGUGAAGAUGCAAUGAGAAAGCACAGUCUUUGAAGCAAGAGAGAGCCCUUACGAGAUGCUGAAUCCGCUAGUGCCUUGACAUGGGACUUUCCAACCUUCAAAACUAAAAACUGUCAAGACCAGUGAACACCUAGUGUUACUUGCACCAAGAAUAGUAACCACGGCUCUUGCAGAACUUGAAGGUAUAUUAUUAAAAGCGAUGAUUGUGGAAAUUUCUGUCUUAUUACUGAACACAGAGGAAAACAUGAUCCUGUAGCCCUGGUUUCAAACUGCCGAUUCACAGACCAAAUGUCUCUCUGAGGACACUGUCAUCUGUCUCACUGGUAGAGUGAGAAAAAAUGUGAAAAUAUCAUGACUUUUCUACAUAAGUUAAAUGCAUCCAUUAUUUUGUAAUAACAUUUCUACUUUUUGGAAGUCAAUCUGUUGAUAGUAGAUGAUAAAUGAUAGCUAUUGCUUCUGUUUGUUUUCCAAGUAUAUAUUUGUCAAAAUAAAACUCAUAUAUUGGUUCCUAUUUUAAGUAUUUUUGUCUUCUUGUUUAAAUGUUACUACUUGUGAAAUACAAAAAUUCUAGAGGCAAUAAUCUACCUAAUAAUGUCCAAACAUUAUAAUUGUUUUAAAAGACCCUUCAUUUUGUCCUAUUCCUAUAUCUCCCCACUUAAUUUCCA